rnacentral:sRNA from 1 species
AUUUUAUAUAUAUAUUUAUAUUAUAUACAGUAAAACCUCUAUAAAUUAAUAAC